CGUGUAGGCGGCUUAUUAUGUCAGGUGUGAAAUCCCUCGGCCUAACUGAGGAAGUGCGCCUGAAACUGAUAGGCUUGAGUACGAGAGAGGAGGACGGAAUUCCCAGUGUAGAGGUGAAAUUCGUAGAUAUUGGGAGGAACACCGGUGGCGAAAGCGGUUCUCUAGAUCGAUACUGACGCUAAGACGCGAAAGCGUGGGGAGCAAACA
rnacentral:rRNA from 1 species